GCCGAUGUGGUGAAAUUGGUAGACACGCCAUCUUGAGGGGGUGGUGGGGAAACCCGUGCUGGUUCGACUCCAGUCAUCGGCACCA
rnacentral:tRNA from 1 species